GAUGAAGAACGCAGCAAAAUGCGAUACGUAAUGUGAAUUGCAGAAUUCAGUGAAUCAUCGAAUCUUUGAACGCACAUUGCACUCCUUGGUAUUCCGAGGAGUAUGCCUGUUUCAGUAUCAUGAGCACUCUCACAUCUAACCUUUGGGUUAAAAUGUGGAAUUGGGAUGCGCCGGUUAUUAUAACGGCCCUCCUAAAAUUCAGUUCUUGGCUGCUUCCUACUACAGCAGUUUGGCCUAAUAGUUUUGAGUCUUCGAUUCAAAUCUUUGGCUAACAUUUGCUUCAGGAUGUCAGUCUUGAUAUACAGAAAUCUCAUUCAAACUUUGAUCUGAAAUCAGGUAGGGCUACCCGCUGAACUUAAGCAUAUCAAUAAGCGGAGGA
rnacentral:misc_RNA from 1 species